GAUGAACGCUGGCGGCGUGCUUAACACAUGCAAGUCGAACGAUGAAGCCCAGCUUGCUGGGUGGAUUAGUGGCGAACGGGUGAGUAACACGUGAGUAACCUGCCCUUAACUCUGGGAUAAGCCUGGGAAACUGGGUCUAAUACCGGAUAGGAGCGUCCACCGCAUGGUGGGUGUUGGAAAGAUUUAUCGGUUUUGGAUGGACUCGCGGCCUAUCAGCUUGUUGGUGAGGUAAUGGCUCACCAAGGCGACGACGGGUAGCCGGCCUGAGAGGGGGACCGGCCCCAAUGGUAGUUAGAGGCCGUGAAGACGACGGCGGGAGGCAGCGGGGGGGAAUAUGGCACAAUGGGCACAGGCGUGGUGCGGCGCGGCCGCGUGAGGGACGACGGCCGGCGGGUUGAAAACCUCUUUAAGUGGGGAAAAAGAAAAGGUGAGGCUACCUGCAGAAGAACCACGGGCAAAUUCCGUGCCGGAAGCCGUGAAUAGACAAAGAGCACGCGUCGAAC
rnacentral:rRNA from 1 species